rnacentral:ribozyme from 13 species
UUUUUUUUUUUUUUUUUUUUUUUUACCUCCAAUCU